rnacentral:rRNA from 1 species
AACGAACGCUGGCGGCAGGCUUAACACAUGCAAGUCGAACGCUCGUAGCAAUACGGGAGUGGCGGACGGGUGAGUAACGCGUGGGAACGUGCCCUGAGGUACGGAAUAACUGAGGGAAACUUCAGCUAAUACCGUAUGAGCCCCGAGAGGGGGAAAGAUUUAUCGCCUUUGGGAGCGGCCCGCGUCGGAUUAGCUAGUUGGUGGGGUAACGGCCUACCAGGGCUUCGAUCCGUAGCCGGUCUGAGAGGACGAUCAGCCACACUGGGACUGAGACACGGCCCAGACUCCUACGGGAGGCAGCAGUGGGGAAUCUUGCGCAAUGGGGGCAACCCUGACGCAGCCAUGCCGCGUGAACGAUGAAGGCCUUAGGGUUGUAAAGUUCUUUUACCUGUGACGAUGAUGACGUAACGGGG